rnacentral:lncRNA from 1 species
UCUAUAUUUUAAAAUGAUAUUCAAUAGCAUAGGAAAGUCUUCACGACAUAGUAUCAAGAGAAAAGGCACAAUGUAAAAUGACACAGAGUGUUACCCCUGCUUUGCUUAACAACACAGGGUUUUGUACUUAUCUCCAUAUCAUCUAUCUCUGAAUGGGCACUGGGCUGGGUGCUGCAGAUACAAAGUUGAACAAGAUACAGUGCUUGAUUUUGAGGAAAUCACAGAGAUGUGAGGAUCCCAAGGUCAUGGGGAAAAGAUGAAAAUUACCAGUGGAAGGACUGAAGCUCAAGAAGCUAAUGAGUGGCAGAAGCUUCACUUAACCAGGUUCCUUGGAUUUUCAUCAAACUACAGCAGUUUCUUCUGUACCAUGAACCAGUUAUUCUAUUACACUACCGUGGCCAGAUCCUGGAUAGAAUUCUUUGUGGAACCAGA